rnacentral:rRNA from 1 species
GAGAGUUUGAUCCUGGCUCAUUUACGAACGCUGGCGGCGUGCCUAACACAUGCAAGUCGAGCGAAUGAAGUUCCUUCGGGAACGGAUUUAGCGGCGGACGGGUGAGUAACACGUGGGCAACCUGCCUCAUAGAGGGGAAUAGCCUUCCGAAAGGGAGAUUAAUACCGCAUAAGAUUGUAGUACCGCAUGGUACAGCAAUUAAAGGAGCAAUCCGCUAUGAGAUGGGCCCGCGGCGCAUUAGCUAGUUGGUGAGGUAACGGCUCACCAAGGCGACGAUGCGUAGCCGACCUGAGAGGGUGAUCGGCCACAUUGGGACUGAGACACGGCCCAGACUCCUACGGGAGGCAGCAGUGGGGAAUAUUGCACAAUGGGGGAAACCCUGAUGCAGCAACGCCGCGUGAGUGAUGACGGCCUUCGGGUUGUAAAGCUCUGUCUUCAGGGACGAUAAUGACGGUACCUGAGGAGGAAGCCACGGCUAACUACGUGCCAGCAGCCGCGGUAAUACGUAGGUGGCGAGCGUUGUCCGGGAUUUACUGGGCGUAAAGGGUGCGUAGGCGGUUUGGUAAGUCAGUGGUGAAAGUUUGCAGCUUAACUGUAAAAUUGCCAUUGAUACUGUCAGACUUGAGUACAGAUGAGGUAGGCGGAAUGUGUGGUGUAGCGGUGAAAUGCUUAGAGAUCACACAGAACACCGAUUGCGAAGGCAGCUUACUAAACUGUUACUGACGCUGAGGCACGAAAGUGUGGGGAUCAAACAGGAUUAGAUACCCUGGUAGUCCACACUGUAAACGAUGAUUACUGGAUGUUUGCGAUAUAUUGUAAGCGUCUCAAGCGAAAGCAUUAAGUAAUCCACCUGGGGAGUACGUCGGCAACGAUGAAACUCAAAGGAAUUGACGGGGGCCCGCACAAGCGGAGGAACAUGUGGUUUAAUUCGAUGAUACGCGAGGAACCUUACCCGGGCUCGAACGACAGGGGAAUAUGGGGGAAACUUCAUAGCCAGCAAUGGCCGCUGUCGAGGUGCUGCAUGGUUGUCGUCAGCUCGUGCCGUGAGGUGUCGGCUUAAGUGCCAUAACGAGCGCAACCCUUAUCAUUAGUUGCCAUCAUUAAGUUGGGCACUCUAAUGAGACCGCCGGGGAUAACUCGGAGGAAGGUGGGGGAUGACGUCAAAUCAUCAUGCCCCUUAUGUCCUGGGCUACACACGUGCUACAAUGGUCGGUACAACGAGAAGCGAAGUCGCGAGGCGGAGCGAAUCUUUCAAAGCCGAUCCCAGUUCGGAUUGCAGGCUGAAACCCGCCUGCAUGAAGCAGGAGUUGCUAGUAAUCGCAGAUCAGCAUGCUGCGGUGAAUGCGUUCCCGGGUCUUGUACACACCGCCCGUCACACCAUGGAAGUUGGGGGCGCCCGAAGUUGGUCGGUAAAUAGAUCACCUAGGGCGAAAUCAAUGACUGGGGUGAAGUCGUAACAAGGUAGCCGUAG